GGCUUUACAGCUCAAUUGGUCGAGCAUCGCACGGCACCGGUAUUGCGGGGUCACAGGUUUGAAUCCCGUUGAAGCCC
rnacentral:tRNA from 1 species